rnacentral:lncRNA from 1 species
AUUAUUCGAUACUGGAAUAGGCUUUUAUCGUUUGAAGACGACCGAUUAACGAAAGUGGUGUUCAAUAUGGAUUAUGAUCGUUGCACAAACAAUUGGUGUAGUGACACUAAAGAUAUUUUCACUAAACUUAAUAUGUUACAUUAUUACGAAAGUAGAACAAUGGUGGAUUUAAAAUCUUUUGAACAAAUUGUACGAACUUAUUACAGUGAUA